GACGAACGCUGGCGGCGUGCUUAACACAUGCAAGUCGAACGGAAAGGCCCCAGCUUGCUGGGGUACUCGAGUGGCGAACGGGUGAGUAACACGUGGGUGAUCUGCCCUGCACUCUGGGAUAAGCCUGGGAAACUGGGUCUAAUACCGGAUAGGACCGUGCUUUAGUGUGUGCGGUGGAAAGGUUUUCGGUGCAGGAUGAGCCCGCGGCCUAUCAGCUUGUUGGUGGGGUAAUGGCCUACCAAGGCGGCGACGGGUAGCCGGCCUGAGAGGGUGUACGGCCACAUUGGGACUGAGACACGGCCCAGACUCCUACGGGAGGCAGCAGUGGGGAAUAUUGCACAAUGGGCGCAAGCCUGAUGCAGCGACGCCGCGUGGGGGAUGACGGCCUUCGGGUUGUAAACCCCUUUCGGCAGGGACGAAGCUUUUGUGACGGUACCUGCAUAAGAAGCACCGGCUAACUACGUG
rnacentral:rRNA from 1 species